AAGUCGUAACAAGGUUUCCGUAGGUGAACCUGCGGAAGGAUCAUUACUGGAGGGCACAAAUAUGCCCAGACACACUGUGUUUUGUUAGUGUGUGUGGCGCCCACAAGGCGCCACCAUUACACGUUGACACCGCAAGUGAAACAGCCAAGCAUGAAAUACAUUUAACAAUAACAACUGUUAGCAACGGAUCACUUGGUUCUC
rnacentral:misc_RNA from 1 species